rnacentral:rRNA from 1 species
GACGAACGCUGGCGGCGUGCCUAAUACAUGCAAGUAGAACGCUGAAGGAGGAGCUUGCUUCUCCGGAUGAGUUGCGAACGGGUGAGUAACGCGUAGGUAACCUGCCUGGUAGCGGGGGAUAACUAUUGGAAACGAUAGCUAAUACCGCAUAAUAGUAGAUGUUGCAUGACAUUUGCUUAAAAGGUGCAAUUGCAUCACUACCAGAUGGACCUGCGUUGUAUUAGCUAGUUGGUGAGGUAACGGCUCACCAAGGCAACGAUACAUAGCCGACCUGAGAGGGUGAUCGGCCACACUGGGACUGAGACACGGCCCAGACUCCUACGGGAGGCAGCAGUAGGGAAUCUUCGGCAAUGGACGGAAGUCUGACCGAGCAACGCCGCGUGAGUGAAGAAGGUUUUCGGAUCGUAAAGCUCUGUUGUAAGAGAAGAACGAGUGUGAGAGUGGAAAGUUCACACUGUGACGGUAUCUUACCAGAAAGGACGGCUA